rnacentral:rRNA from 1 species
AGCAGCCGCGGUAAUUCCAGCUCCAAUAGCGUAUAUUAAAGUUGUUGCAGUUAAAAAGCUCGUAGUUGAAUUUCGGGAUUGACACAUCGGUCGUGCCUUAAGGGGUAUGAACUGGUGUAGUCAAUUUCUCACCUUCUGGAGAACCGCGAUGCCCUUAAUUGGGUGUCACGGGGAACCAGGACCUUUACUUUGAAAAAAUUAGAGUGUUUAAAGCAGGCAUUUUGCUUGAAUACAUUAGCAUGGAAUAAUAAAAUAGGACGGCAUGAUUCUAUUUUGUUGGUUUCUAGGAUCACCGUAAUGAUUAAUAGGGAUAGUUGGGGGCAUUAGUAUUCAAUUGUCAGAGGUGAAAUUCUUGGAUUUAUUGAAGACUAACUACUGCGAAAGCAUUUGCCAAGGAUGUUUUCAUUAAUCAAGAACGAAAGUUAGGGGAUCGAAGACGAUCAGAUACUG